GAGCUCGCUUUGGGAGCUCAUAGGGUAAGACUGGGCAGAUACAGAGAAGAUUAGCGUGGCCUCUGCGCAAGGAUGAUGCGCAAAUUCACCCGCUUUCUCCUUUU
ensembl:snRNA Gm23889 predicted gene, 23889